AUCCAGCCUUGGAAUUGGUGGACAUCAGCAUCAAAAGCUCAGGCUAACCUCCCUGGUUGGUCAGAUUGGAUUUGCAGUGGUGUGGAAGGGAUGAAGUGUUGCAGUGUGAUUUUUAUUUAUUUAUUUCAGGAUUUGGACCAUCAGAGGAGCUGCCUUGAGGUGGACAACACGUGUCUGAGAGCUGAUCUCCAAGAGCUGAAGGCUGACACCUCCACCCUCGCGCAGGUGAUCCAGCGGGCUCAACACUCGCAUGGCUUCGAUUUGUUGGAGAGGAGGAAAGCCGUGCUGCUUCUGCAGAAGCUGGAGCCGGAGAUGGCUCAGAUCACCAGCAUAGACGUCAUUGACGAUGCACACUCCAGGCUUGGGGUAGAACGCUGGGAAGCAGCAGCCUCUGAUGUGGAGGUGAGCACAGAGCGAAGAUUUUCCACAUUGAUAUGUCGGUUCUUCAGGAGCAGCAGCUCGGAAUCUGGCAGCUUUCCAUCAUUAUCAGUCAGCUCCAAUCUCUCUGCACGUUUACAUGGCCCGUCCGCUUCUCUUAAGGCCUUUUGUAAUCAGGCAAAUGGCCAGGCAUUAUGAUCUCACCCUGCCCUGAGCUCACAGACGCACUGAUGGAUGCCCCGUUCAUGACUGAUGUGAAUAUUUCUAUUUAAUUUUGCCUGUGUGCAUGUGUGUGUGUAUUAUAACAGGCCAGGAUGGCUGCAGAGGUUCUGGCUGAGGUGGGAAAUCCAAAAGCAAAACAAGCAAACAGACCCAAAGAGCAGGUUAGUAAGAGUGGAAAUUGUGUUCUCUGCUUUUUUUGUUUCAACUAAUUUUACACACUCUCUCCAUUGAUACUCAAAAAAAAAAUAAACUUUUACUUUGAUAAAACA
rnacentral:lncRNA from 1 species